GUGGGGAAUUUUGGACAAUGGGCGAAAGCCUGAUCCAGCCAUGCCGCGUGUGUGAAGAAGGCCUUUUGGUUGUAAAGCACUUUAAGCGAGGAGGAGGCUACCGAGAUUAAUACUCUUGGAUAGUGGACGUUACUCGCAGAAUAAGCACCGGCUAACUCUGUGCCAGCAGCCGCGGUAAUACAGAGGGUGCAAGCGUUAAUCGGAUUUACUGGGCGUAAAGCGCGCGUAGGUGGCCAAUUAAGUCAAAUGUGAAAUCCCCGAGCUUAACUUGGGAAUUGCAUUCGAUACUGGUUGGCUAGAGUAUGGGAGAGGAUGGUAGAAUUCCAGGUGUAGCGGUGAAAUGCGUAGAGAUCUGGAGGAAUACCGAUGGCGAAGGCAGCCAUCUGGCCUAAUACUGACACUGAGGUGCGAAAGCAUGGGGAGCAAACAGGAUUAGAAACCCCAGUAGUCC
rnacentral:rRNA from 1 species